AAGAACCAGCCCUACUGGGCACAUAUAAAUGAGUGAAGACAUGGAACUCACCCUUACAAGGCCUAGGACCUGACAGAGCACACAAGACAGAAGCCCAAAUAACCAGGAACAGGAAGCUGAAGGUCCCCUUCUAGAUACCCCAUGGGAAAUACACUCAGUUGCUGCCUAGGCCCCAGCGCUGGCCUCUGUUGUGCCUGCUGCAGGCAGAAGGUGGCACCUUGCUGUGAAUCCAAGACUGAGUCUGUGGCAGCUGCAGCACCAGUAUCCACCACUGCAGAGCCUGCCACCAACACAAAGAGGCGCAAAGGUUUGGCUGGCCGUGCAAAGAGCUGGGCAAAAAAAAAAAUGGAAGCAUAAGAACAUUUGCCCAGUUGAAAGUGAAG